AGCGAACGCUGGCGGCAGGCCUAACACAUGCAAGUCGAACGAAGUCUUCGGACUUAGUGGCGGACGGGUGAGUAACACGUGGGAACGUGCCUUUAGGUUCGGAAUAACUCAGGGAAACUUGUGCUAAUACAGAAUGUGCCCUUCGGGGGAAAGAUUUAUCGCCUUUAGGGCGGCCCGCGUCUGAUUAGCUAGUUGGUGGGGUAAUGGCCCACCAAGGCUACGAUCAGUGGCUGGUCGGUGAGGUUGACCAGCCACAUUGGGACUGAGACACGGCCCAGACUCCCACGGGAGGCAGCAGUGGGGAAUCUUGCGCGAUGGGCGAAUGCCUGACGCAGCCAUGCCGCGUGGAUGAUGAAGGUCUUAGGAUUGUAAAAUCCUUUCACCGGUGAAGAUAAUGACUGUAGCCGGAGAAGAAGCCCCGGCUAACUUCGUGCCAGCCGCCGCCGUAACAC
rnacentral:rRNA from 1 species